rnacentral:tmRNA from 1 species
GGGGCUGAUUCUGGAUUCGACGGGAUUUGCGAAACCCAAGGUGCAUGCCGAGGGGCGGUUGACCUCGUAAAAAGCCGCAAAAAAUAGUCGCAAACGACGAAAACUACGCUUUAGCAGCUUAAUAACCUGCUUAGAGCCCUCUCUCCCUAGCCUCCGCUCUUAGGACGGGGAUCAAGAGAGGUCAAACCCAAAAGAGAUCGCGUGGAAGCCCUGCCUGGGGUUGAAGCGUUAAAACUUAAUCAGGCUAGUUUGUUAGUGGCGUGUCCGUCCGCAGCUGGCAAGCGAAUGUAAAGACUGACUAAGCAUGUAGUACCGAGGAUGUAGGAAUUUCGGACGCGGGUUCAACUCCCGCCAGCUCCACCA